rnacentral:tRNA from 1 species
GGGUAUAUAGCUCAGUGGUAGAGCACAUGCUUAGCAUGCAUGAGGUCCUGGGUUCAAUCCCCAAUACCUCCA